AGAGGACCCAACAGCAUGGAUGGUGCAUGCUGAGCACUUCUCAAAGGAAAACCCAUGGCAGAGGAUUCGACGAAGCCUCAUCAUGGUUUUUGAGCUGCUGUGCACAGAAAGAAGACGGCACAUCAUUUGCCAGGCCCAGGCCGGCCAGCACAGACACAUGCCUCUGCAGCACUGUAAGACAUCAGUGAAGGCUGAAGCAUUUUGCCAUCUGGGCAGCGUGGGUGGUGUGCUUUAAGUCUGGUGCUUAUGUUUCUGGAAACAGACAUACAACCAUCAGGUUGGCUAAACUUUCCUCAUGCUUUGUAUUAGAAAGGGAGAGAAUAGAUUACAGGAGACAAUGACAAUGAUAAGAUGAUUUCUAUGGGUUACUGCAAUUCAACCCCUUGUAAUAACACAUUGAUUUCAACGUUUCCCCUACACAAAGAAUUCUCAUAUGUUGCUGAUGGUAAAUGAUGCCCCAAUAUUCAGUCAAUCUAGGCAAAAAUAAAGUCCACUAAAUGAAAGAAAAUCACUCAAGCUGAAUUGGCCUCAUAUAGAAAUGGCUCAAGGGUUAAGAGAGGGAGCACAUGCUAAGAUAAAGAUUACAGGGGAAAUUGUGUUUAUUUAAUCAAGGCCCAGAUGGGCUGAAGGCAGAAACACAGCGUCCUGAUUUGCAUAACUUUUUCUCUCUGAGCCAUAAGCAAGGGCUUUUCCAAUAUCCAAGGAUAACCUCUGAAUUCAAACAAAUCAUUCUUCUGACCUAUGGCCAAUCUUUCAGCCUCACACAGAUGUCUCCCUUUAUGUAUAAGGAAGGAAUAAUCAUAUCACUCAAACUCAAAUGUUCACUUGGGAUUAACUAAUAUUUAAAGUGCUCUUCUUUUAAGAGCCACGCCAUGCAAAAGGGAAGUGGCUUAUACAUAUAAUACAGCAGUUUAUGGAAAAAGACUCCAUGGUAUGGUGGAAAAAACACUUUUCUAACAGAGCAACCUGGAUCCCAGUCCUGGUCUGCCACGGUUUAGCAACAUGACCAUGGGUAACUCACAAAAACACUGAGUCUCAGUUUCCUCAUCUAUGAAGCAAAACAUCCUUAUCUGAGGAGUUUUUCUUUGUCAAAUUACUAUAUCACCAUGACCAAUGCAUACAUAUGUAUUACAUAUGAUAGUGAUACGAUUAUUCCUUUCAUAUAGAUAGACAGAAGAUAUAGAUAGAAAAUAGAUAAUAGAAGAUAUUGAUGGACGAAAGAAGAUAUAGACAUGAAUAGAUGAUAGAGGAUAUAGACACGUAUAGUUGUGAUAAUGUAGCAUAGUUUUUUCCCAAAAUGUGAUAAAAUAAAGAAAUGUUUGACCUAAAGACUUCCCAUUUUAUUGAAAAGUAUGAAAUAUAUUGAAAAAUACAAUAAAACUAAACUGAGCCAAAGUUGUUGCAGCAACUUUACAAUUGCCUAAGUUAAAGUCGUUUUCAAAUACUUAAGUGGCAAUAUGCACUAAAAAAUAGAAUCUUUGAAAUACAAAAUUGAAGAAAUGAUGCACUGAAAGUUAUAAAAUUAUUUGUGAAUUAAAAAUACAUAAAACAAUGUAGUGAAUUAAUCUUUAAAUGUAACAUAUAUUUAUUCACUUAUUUAUUUCAUUGGUAUUCGUGCAGCACCUACUAUGUGCCAGAU
rnacentral:lncRNA from 1 species